UGAGCAAUCGCGACGGGGGGAUCCCAAGUGCCAUUCUUAACGGGAUGGCUUUUCUUAAGUGUAAAGAGCUUUUGGAAUAAGAGCUGGGCAAGACCGGUGCCAGCCGCCGCGGUAAA
rnacentral:rRNA from 1 species